rnacentral:rRNA from 1 species
AUUGAACGCUGGCGGCAGGCCUAACACAUGCAAGUCGAGCGGAGCGGCGGACGGGUGAGUAAUGCCUAGGAAUCUGCCUGGUAGUGGGGGAUAACGUCCGGAAACGGGCGCUAAUACCGCAAACUAUCAGAUGAGCCUAGGUCGGAUUAGCUAGUUGGUGGGGUAAAGGCCUACCAAGGCGACGAUCCGUAACUGGUCUGAGAGGAUCAUCAGUCACCCUGGAACUGAGACACGGUCCAGACUCCUCCUAGAACCACCAUUCUAAAAUAUUCUACAAUGUUCGAAAGCCUGAUCCAGCCAUGCCGCGUGUGUGAAGAAUUUCUUCGGAUUUUAAUGCACUUUAAGUUGGGAGGCGUUACCAACAGAAUAAGCACCGGCUAACUUCGUGCCAGCAGCCGCGGUAAUAC